rnacentral:rRNA from 1 species
UACGUAGGGUGCGAGCGUUAAUCGGAAUUACUGGGCGUAAAGGGCUCGUAGGCGGCCAACUAAGUCAGACGUGAAAUCCCUCGGCUUAACCGGGGAACUGCGUCUGAUACUGGAUGGCUUGAGAUUGGGAGAGGGAUGCGGAAUUCCAGGUGUAGCGGUGAAAUGCGUAGAUAUCUGGAGGAACACCGGUGGCGAAGGCGGCAUCCUGGACCAACACUGACACUGAGGAGCGAAAGCCAGGGGAGCAAACGGG